rnacentral:misc_RNA from 1 species
UAAAAUAGCAACCAUAUAUUAAAGAAUGUUCGUUGGUACUCAGAUGGUGAAAUACAUUUCGUUGUAUUUUGUUUUUCAUAAAAAGGCAUGUGGUGGGGGAAUCUUAUUCAAGAUAUAAACAGACAAAAAGAAGAAAGCAAUGCUUAUUCUUCAUGCAACCUUUGGCUUUGGAAUUGGAUCGUAGCAAGUGAACCGUUACAUGAGUUGCGACUGUGUCCCUAGAUUCAAAAGCAAAUCCCUUGCUUUUGCAGUCUGAAAAUCCCUUUUGUUUCUCUGAGAAUGUUUCAUGAGUCGUGACGGGUCACUCACUGUUUUCUGUACAUAUAUAAUUCAAAAUCUUCAUUUACAAUCCAAAUUCAAAUAAAUAAACACAGCUACUUUAUGUCCCAACUAAAAUACAAUAAAUUAUGUAGCACCUAUUAGGGAUGGCACCUAAUCAGUGUACUCUCUGCUUACGCAAAAAGAGAAACAGAAUACACAUAUCAAUUCAUAUUUUCAACAAAAAUUGACUUGAUUGAUGAGCAUUACAUGGUAUUAAAUUAGACAUAUAUGUAUAUGUGGGCAUUUUCAUAGAAGAAAUACACAUGGAAAUUUGUAUAUGGUUUCUUUUUUGUUUGUUUUUAACUUGGAAUCUUUUGUUGACUGGUGAUGAGUUGGGGAAGUGUAAUCCUUACGCUUUAUGAUAUAAUGGGAAUGGCAACUUAAUUGAGACGAAACAUGCCUUUGUAAAAGGAGAUCAAGAUCAAGGUUCGCCACAAUCAAUGUUGUCUCUUUGGUUUAAGAGCACCAAAACGCCUACAAACAAACAACCAAAAAGCAUUAUUCCAAACAUUUAUCAUAUAAUCAUUAAUUAAUUACCAUCUAAACAUCAAAUUGCAUAUUUCUUUAUUGUAAAAUUGAAAAAUAAGGAAGAAAUCCAAAUUCUAAACUACUCAGUACGCAUCACUCAGAAAAGGACAUGAUAUUGAGAGAAAUUAAUUAGGCAAUAAAGAGACAUACACGAAAACAAGCAAUGCGCAUUCUCCAAGGCUUCUUUGCUUUCUUAAGCUUGGAGAAAAACUCGUCUUGAGAGCAAACAUUGCCUGAAGAUGCCAAGAAAACCCUUCUCGGAAUCGGAGGAGACCAUAGACCACUUUGUUCGUAAUCAAAAUCAUAUUGUGAUGCAUCAAAGAACUUCCCGAGAAGCCUCUCAGAUACCGAUUUCGAAACCAUUUGAAUGCUUGGAGUGCUGCAGGUCAGUGAAGAAGAACUUCGUCCUGGCGACAAUGAUGAUGAUGAUGACGUCGACAAUGCCAUUGAUGAAACCUCUGAUAUACUCGCCAUUCAAGGAGAGAGAUCAGAGAGAGAUGUAUAUGAAAACUGGUUUGCUUGCUUUGUGUUGUGGAGCAGAAGUUAGGUUGAAUGAAAGUACUUUGAUAAGGUAUAGCAGAAAAAAGAACCAAUGGUUUGGUCAAUAUUAAAAGCCAGACUCAA